rnacentral:rRNA from 1 species
UGGGGAAUAUUGGACAAUGGGCGAAAGCCUGAUCCAGCCAUGCCGCGUGUGUGAAGAAGGUCUUCGGAUUGUAAAGCACUUUAAGUUGGGAGGAAGGGCAUUAACCUAAUACGUUAGUGUUUUGACGUUACCGACAGAAUAAGCACCGGCUAACUCUGUGCCAGCAGCCGCGGUAAUACAGAGGGUGCAAGCGUUAAUCGGAAUUACUGGGCGUAAAGCGCGCGUAGGUGGUUUGUUAAGUUGGAUGUGAAAUCCCCGGGCUCAACCUGGGAACUGCAUUCAAAACUGACUGACUAGAGUAUGGUAGAGUGUGGUGGAAUUUCCUGUGUAGCGGUGAAAUGCGUAGAUAUAGGAAGGAACACCAGUGGCGAAGGCGACCACCUGGA